AGAAUCAACGCUGGCGGCGUGCCUAACACAUGCAAGUCGAACGAGAAAGUGGAGCAAUCCGUGAGUAAAGUGGCGACCGGGUGAGUAACACGUGACCAAUCUACCCUUGAGUGGGGGAUAACCUCGGGAAACCGGGGCUAAUACCGCAUAACAUCCUCGGGACGGAAGUACUGGGGAUCAAAGGAGCAAUUCGCUUAAGGAGGAGGUCGCGGCUGAUUAGCUAGUUGGCGGGGUAAUGGCCCACCAAGGCAAAGAUCGGUA
rnacentral:rRNA from 1 species